rnacentral:rRNA from 1 species
UACGAAGGGGGCUAGCGUUGUUCGGAUUCAUUGGGCGUAAAGGGUGCGUAGGCGGUCGUGCAAGUCGGAUGUGAAAUCUCAGGGCUCAACCCUGAAACUGCAUUCGAUACUGCGCGGCUAGAGUGCUGGAGGGGAGACUGGAAUUUACGGUGUAGCAGUGAAAUGCGUAGAUAUCGUAAGGAAGACCAGUGGCGAAGGCGAGUCUCUGGACAGCAACUGACGCUGAGGCACGAAGGCCAGGGGAGCAAACGGG